rnacentral:rRNA from 1 species
UACACUCCUACGGGAGGCAGCAGUGGGGAAUAUUGCACAAUGGGCGCAAGCCUGAUGCAGCGACGCCGCGUGGGGGAUGAAGGCCUUCGGGUUGUAAACUCCUUUCGCUAGGGACGAAGCUUUUUUGUGACGGUACCUAGAUAAGAAGCACCGGCUAACUACGUGCCAGCAGCCGCGGUAAUACGUAGGGUGCGAGCGUUGUCCGGAAUUACUGGGCGUAAAGGGCUCGUAGGUGGUUUGUCGCGUCGUCUGUGAAAUUCUGGGGCUUAACUCCGGGCGUGCAGGCGAUACGGGCAUAACUUGAGUGCUGUAGGGGUAACUGGAAUUCCUGGUGUAGCGGUGAAAUGCGCAGAUAUCAGGAGGAACACCGAUGGCGAAGGCAGGUUACUGGGCAGUUACUGACGCUGAGGAGCGAAAGCAUGGGUAGCGAACAGGAUUAGAAACCCCGGUAGUCCC